GGUUCCUUAGCUUAAUAGGUAAAGCGCAUUCUUGAUAAGGAUGUGAUCGACGUUCAAU
rnacentral:tRNA from 1 species